UACGAGGGGUGCGAGCGUUAUUCGGAAUCAUUGGGCGUAAAGGGUGCGUAGACGGCGUACUAAGUUGGUUGUUAAAUCUCUCGGCUUAACCGAGAGUUCGCGAUCAAAACUGGUAUGCUAGAGGAUGGAAGAGAGAAGUGGAAUUCUCGGAGUAGCGGUAAAAUGCGUAGAUAUCGAGAGGAACACCGAUGGCGAAGGCAGCUUCUUGGUCCAUUCCUGACGUUGAGGCACGAAAGCGUGGGGAGCAAACAGG
rnacentral:misc_RNA from 1 species